rnacentral:rRNA from 1 species
UACAGAGGGUGCAAGCGUUAAUCGGAAUUACUGGGCGUAAAGGGUGCGUAGGUGGUUAAUUAAGUUGUAUGUGAAAUCCCCGGGCUUAACCUGGGAAUUGCGUAUAAAACUGAUUGACUAGAGUUCGGGAGAGGGAAGUGGAAUUUCCAGUGUAGCGGUGAAAUGCGUAGAUAUUGGAAGGAACACCAGUGGCGAAGGCGACUUCCUGGCCCGAUACUGACACUGAGGCACGAAAGCGUGGGGAGCGAACAGG